UACGUAGGGAGCAAGCGUUGUCCGGAAUCAUUGGGCGUAAAGCGCGCGUAGGUGGCUUCGUAAGUCCGUUGUGAAAGUCAAAGGCUCAACCUUUGAAAGCCGAUGGAUACUGUGGAGCUAGAGUACGGAAGAGGCGAGUGGAAUUCCUGGUGUAGCGGUGGAAUGCGCAGAUAUCAGGAGGAACACCGGUGGCGAAGGCGGGUCUCUGGGCCAUUACUGACGCUGAGGCGCGAAAGCGUGGGGAGCAAACAGG
rnacentral:rRNA from 1 species